rnacentral:misc_RNA from 1 species
GAUGAAGAACGUAGCGAAAUGCGAUAAGUAAUGUGAAUUGCAGAAUUCAGUGAAUCAUCGAAUCUUUGAACGCACAUUGCGCCCGCCAGUAUUCUGGCGGGCAUGCCUGUUCGAGCGUCAUUUCAACCAUCAAGCCCCGGGCUUGUGUUGGGGACCUGCGGCUGCCGCAGGCCCUGAAAUGCAGUGGCGGGCUCGCUGUCACUCCGAGCGUAGUAGUUACAUCUCGCUCUGGGCGUGCUGCGGGUUCCGGCCGUUAAAAGCCUUAUUUACCCAAGGUUGACCUCGGAUCAGGUAGGAAGGCCCGCUGAACUUAAGCAUAUCAAUAAGCGGAGGA